AUGUUCUUAUUUUUUCUUUGGAUUUUCUUGGAUUAUGUUCUAGCGUGGAUGAACUGGAGCUUCGGGCGUGCCUUGCCAGCCUCUAUAUCGGUAUUACUUUUCAUAAUUCAUAACUCUAUUAGUAUUUUGGAAAGUGAUUGUUCCUUUGUGGCCUCUUUUCUUACAAAUGAUACACUUGACAAGUCCAACCUCACUGUCCUGAAAAGGGAAGCCAUUGCCUUGAUUGGACUUCUUGAAGACUUUAAGCUUUCUAAAAUCAACCGUUGCCCAAAUUCGGGGGCGCAUGACAUUGCAAAUUUAGUUUUGACAAUAGGCCGGACAGUGUUCUUCUUGAUUCGUUUCCAUCUUGCGCGGCGUAUGUUGCAUGAAUUAUUGUAA
rnacentral:rRNA from 1 species